CGGGGGAGCUCUGCCAGCUGUGCAGGUGUGCAAUCUAUUGAGGAGGGGCUCUGCCAACCGUGCAGGUGUACAAUCCAUUGUGUGGGGGGGGGGGGCUCUGCC